UGACCUCUCUUGUGGUCACUAUACUAGUGGCACUAGUCUCUCUCACAUUGCCUUCAGAAACUUCAGCUAACUACCCUUACUCAUCUCCACCACCACCGGCUUCUCCUCCCUACCACUACAAGUCACCACCACCUCCUUCUCCUUCUCCUCCAGUGUACUCACCACCUAAGCAUCCCUACCACCCCAAGUCACCACCACCAUCACCAAAGCCUUACCACUACAAGUCCCCACCACCACCUCCUCCUCCAGUGCACUCACCACCCCCACCAAAGGAGCCUUACCACUACAAGUCUCCACCACCACCACCCAAGAAACCUCACCAUCACAAGUCUCCUCCACCACCACCCAGGAAGCCCUACCACCCGGUGCACUCACCCCCACCACCAAAGAAGCCUUACCAUUACAAGUCUCCUCCACCACCACCCAAGAAGCCCUACCACCCGGUGCACUCACCCCCACCACCAAAGAAGCCUUACCAUUACAAGUCUCCUCCACCACCACCCAAGAAGCCCUACCACCCGGUGCACUCCCCACCACCACCAAAGAAGCCUUACCAUUACAAGUCUCCUCCACCACCACCCAAGAAGCCCUACCACCCGGUGCACUCACCCCCACCACCAAAGAAGCCUUACCAUUACCAAUCCCCACCACCACCACCACCACACAAGAAGCCUCACCACCCAGUUCACUCACCACCUCCACCUAAGAAGCCUUACCACUACACGUCUCCCCCACCACCCCCUCCAGUCCACAAGUCUCCUCCACCACCAGUUCACUCACCACCACCACCACCUAUUAAACCUUACAAGCCACCAACACCUCCAACAGUUCACCCACCACCCGCUUACAUCUAUUCAUCACCCCCACCUCCUCACCACUACUAGAUAUUGAGAGCUUAGUUGCAUCCAGUUGGUAAGCCUCUCCAUUCUAUGUUUUUAGAUCAUAUCCAUACAACUGCAAGCAAUCGCCAAAUAAUUUGACAAAAAACAUCCCUAGCUAUAAAAUUAUAAUACACUAGUGUUUACUUCCUUUUUUGUCUAAUAAUCCAUAUUGGCAUAUGCAAGCUUAAUGCAUUUCCAGCAUAUCGUCAUUACUCAAUUAAAGUUUCUUGAUAUUUAGUAGUACUCAAGUGUAACAAAUAGACCAAUGACAGAGACCUAACAAGUAACAAUAAUAUAUAUAUAUAUAUAUAUAUAUAUAUAUAUAUAUAUAUAUCUUUGCAGGUAAAGGAAGAAGAAGUCGAACAGCGCGCCUUAUCACCACACAAAGACGAAGAAGAGAAAGACAACGAGUUUCCACGCAGCUGCUGAUGUAACGUGUUUUAUUUAUGCGAUAUUUGUUAAAGGUCCAUAUUUUCCUUUCCUUGUAAUAUUAGACGGUUGUAGGGCACUCAUGUUUCAUGUAGUUGAUUUCCUGUUUGUCGAAAGAGAUGGUAUAUGUAUGUCGUUUGUUUCAACCUUCCAAUGGAGAGGUGAUCAUAAUAAUAAUAAAAUAAAUAGAUUUUCCAAAUUUUCCUUAAUUUCUCACACAUCUGAUAUGUUUUAUUCUCUUAAUAAUUAGAUUUCCAAAUAAUGUUAGAGAAACCACAUAUACAACAGGUGUACCAUUUGUUCUGACAAGUGAUAAUUAGGGUAAAUUACAUAAAACUACCUAAAUUAUUGGGUCAUUAACAAUUUCAUACCUCGUCUUUAAAAAGUUUCAAUGUCAUACCUUCUGUCAGUUGUCCGUCAAUUUUUUUGUUAAAUGCUGACGUGGCUUGAG
rnacentral:lncRNA from 1 species